rnacentral:rRNA from 1 species
GUGGGGAAUAUUGCACAAUGGGGGAAACCCUGAUGCAGCGACGCCGCGUGGAGGAAGAAGGUCUUCGGAUUGUAAACUCCUGUUGUUGAGGAAGAUAAUGACGGUACUCAACAAGGAAGUGACGGCUAACUACGUGCCAGCAGCCGCGGUAAAACGUAGGUCACAAGCGUUGUCCGGAAUUACUGGGUGUAAAGGGAGCGCAGGCGGGAGAACAAGUUGGAAGUGAAAUCCAUGGGCUCAACCCAUGAACUGCUUUCAAAACUGUUUUUCUUGAGUAGUGCAGAGGUGGGCGGAAUUCCCGGUGUAGCGGUGGAAUGCGUAGAUAUCGGGAGGAACACCAGUGGCGAAGGCGGCCUACUGGGCACCAACUGACGCUGAGGCUCGAAAGUGUGGGUAGCAAACAGGAUUAGAAACCCGAGUAGUCC